rnacentral:rRNA from 1 species
UACGGGGGGGGCAAGCGUUGUUCGGAAUUACUGGGCGUAAAGGGCUCGUAGGUGGCCAACUAAGUCAUACGUGAAAUCCCUCGGCUUAACCGGGGAACUGCGUCUGAUACUGGAUGGCUUGAGUUUGGGAGAGGGAUGCGGAAUUCCAGGUGUAGCGGUGAAAUGCGUAGAUAUCUGGAGGAACACCGGUGGCGAAGGUGGCAUCCUGGACCAAUACUGACACUGAGGAGCGAAAGCCAGGGGAGCAAACGGG